GUGCCAGCAGCCGCGGUAAUACGUAGGGUCCGAGCGUUGUCCGGAAUUAUUGGGCGUAAAGGGCUUGUAGGCGGUUUGUUGCGUCGGAAGUGAAAACUCAGGGCUUAACCCUGAGCCUGCUUCCGAUACGGGCAAACUAGAGGGAUGCAGGGGAGAAUGGAAUUCCUGGUGGAGCGGUGGAAUGCGCAGAUAUCAGGAGGAACACCGGUGGCGAAGGCGGUUCUCUGGGCAUUUCCUGACGCUGAGAAGCGAAAGCGUGGGGAGCAAACAGGAUUAGAUACCCCCGUAGUCC
rnacentral:rRNA from 1 species